rnacentral:lncRNA from 1 species
AGCGCUUUCUGUCCCUCCGUUGAAAAUGUAUGUACGGUAUACUGUCCAUGUCCAGAAAGGUAAUUAAAACAUCUUUAAAGUAGUCCAUGUGACAUCAGAGGGUCAGUUAGAAUUUGUUGAAGCAUCAAAUACAUUUUGGUCCAAAAAUAGCAAAAACUACGACUUUAUUCAGCAUUGUCUUCUCUUCCGGGUCUGUUGUGAGCACGUUCACCGCACUGCAGUGUAGUGAUAUCCGGUUCGCGAACGAAUCACUCAAUGUAACCGGAUCUUCUUGAACCAGUUCACCAAAUCGAACUGAAUCGUUUGAAACGGUUCGCGUCUCCAAGCAUUAAUCCAGAAAUUACUUAAGCUGUUAACUUUUUUUUUAAUGUGGCUGACACUCCCUCUGAGUCAAAAUAAACCAAUAUCCCGCAGUAAUUCAUUUACUCAAACAGUACACGGACUGAACUGCUGUGAAGAGAGAACUGAAGAUGAACACCGAGCCGAGCCAGAUAAUGAACGAAAGAUUAGCUGUGUCCCAAACUUAAGUGCAUGGACUCCGGAGUGCGCAUUUGAAGUGCGAAUGCGUCACAGUGGCGCGACGAAGGGUGUCCCAAACUGAAGUGUGUGGACUCCGAAGUGCGGAUGUGAAGUGCGAUUGCAUCACAGCGUCACGACGUAAGCUGUCCCAAAGUCCGAAUGCGCACUUCGAAGACCGCAUUUGAAGUGCAAAUGCGUCACCGCGGCGCGACGAAGGCUGAUGAAUUUCAAAAGCGACUUCAAAUGCGCCCUUCAUUUCCCAUGAAAAUGAAGUGUACAUCUAAUGGACACUUCGCACCCUGCCAUAUCCCAGAAUCACUUGCGCGCAUAGGAAGAAGGUGUUUAUAUUCAGAGGCAGGUGAGAGUUCUGUGGAGGACUUCACAUUGAAAUGCAUGGUUUAUUUGUGAAGUGUCCUGAGACAGGUGAGGGAGCGAGUGGACAGGGAGGACAUCAAACUCAAACAAAUACAUUCUUCAUUAGCCAAGAGAAAACAGUGGGGAAAAAAAUGAGUACAUUACAGUUUUUCCAAUACAUUUUUUAAAUGUCAUAUUGUCAAUGAAACAACCUAAUUUCUGUAGUUUAUUUUUGUGUUAAAAAUGUUAUGCAUAAAUUGUAUACAUUAU